AGUGCAUCCAUGGGUAGGUUCGUAAUCAAUUAUUUCUCUAAACAACUUUUAGUAAUUAGAUUUUGCCUUAGGCAUCCCUUCAGCAGACGUGUGAUGCCUCCACUGAAACCUCAAUUAGGUCCAACCAUUAAUAUGACACACCAAGUGCAUCCAACAAAUGGAUGUCCAGGCUCAAGUGUCACUUUGCCAAUCAGAGCAUUAAUCUGAAGGUACAUCAUGAUGGUUAUAU
rnacentral:lncRNA from 1 species